GACGAACGCUGGCGGCGUGCUUAACACAUGCAAGUCGAGCGGUAAGGCCCUUUCGGGGGUACACGAGCGGCGAACGGGUGAGUAACACGUGGGUGACCUGCCUUCAGCUCUGGGAUAAGCCUGGGAAACUGGGGUCUAAUACCGGAUAUGACUCCAUGAUGCAUGUUGUGGGGUGGAAAGCUUUUGCGGCUGGAGAUGGGCCCGCGGCCUAUCAGCUUGUUGGUGGGGUGAUGGCCUACCAAGGCGACGACGGGUAGCCGGCCUGAGAGGGCGACCGGCCACACUGGGACUGAGACACGGCCCAGACUCCUACGGGAGGCAGCAGUGGGGAAUCUUGC
rnacentral:rRNA from 1 species